ensembl:lncRNA
CCAAGCGACACGUCUUCUUUGAGGGCGUGGUGGGGGAGGCAUCUGGGUGGGCUGUCCGCUCUUAAAGGGACCGUCAAGCGGAGCGCGGGAGGCGGCGCCGCAGGAGCCAGCGCUGUGCGCUCCUACUCCAGCAGGUUCGCGAGGCGGAUUGAAGGGCCGAGUGAGCUCGGGAGGGGAGGGUGGUCGGCAGGGAGUGAGAGAGUCCUGGGAGGUCCGGGCCGCGUUCCUGGCGGAGGCGCGCAAGAGAAGGACCGGGCAGGGCGGGCCCGCCCCUUCUGCUCCGGUCUUCCGAGGCCGGGGCGGCCUGGGUUCAUUCAUUCCGGGCCCAGGACUCCUAGCUCUGCCCCUUCCCAGCCCGGGCCCAAAGUCCAGCCCGAGGCCGAGCCGCCCUCGAGCACUGACGGCCAGCGUCCCCUUCCCUCUUAGUACAGACUGGGGAAAUGGAGGAGGCGACAGCUGACCAAGGUCAGCCCCUGGGUCCCCGGCGAAGUCGCCCUCCGGCCACCCUUUCUGCCUCGAAGGGCCCUUAGGCGACCACUUUUCCGGGUCCACAGAGCGCGCGCCGCUCGGCUGGGAGAGAAUGGGGGCGACUUGGGCGUCCCGGGCAGAGUCCAGGGGAAGAAGCCUCGGGGAAGGGGCGGGCGCUAGCCCGGAGAUCCGAAUUCCAGCCCGGAUCAAUGUGUGGCCACGGGCAAAGUAGUUCCCAUCUCUGACCCUAGUUCUGCUCCCGGUAAAGUGUAAUUAAGAACACCUGCCUCAUCAAGUUGUGGGGCGAACUCAGAAAAUAACGUACAAGCGCUGGUACAGAGCCUGGUGCGUAGCGGGUGCUUAGUCAAGUGGACUGGAGCUGGAUGAGCCCAAGAAGGGUUUCAGGCAGCCUGGAGGAAGAAGGCAGCCGGCCAGGUCUCGGAAUGAAAGGCUUCAGUGUCUGGGGCUUCCUUCCCGCUCUGCCCCCUCCACCCAGUUUGUUCAGGGCGGAGAUGCACACCUGGCAAGGAAGACGGGGCCAAGUCCACGUCUACACUGGCCCACCCACUGCUGCCUGAAACUGGACAGGAUCCCCGUCACCAAGCCCAGAGUAACCUGGUGUGGGUUUAGCCAGAGCCAGCCUGCUUGCCCGGGAUGGGCUGGGGCCCACUACCUGACUGUGGUGCUGUAGCCCUGGAGCUGGGCUCGGCCUGCUGGCAGAGGACCCCCCUGCUUCCUGGUUCUUCCCAGCUGACCCUUGAGGAAAGGGGGCAGCCUAGUCCCAGCGCCCCAGGAGCCUGUUGGCACCUGGUGGGGUGGUCACCAGGGAGGUCUGAGUCUGAACAACUGAACCCUCCCUGGGAUCCUGGAGUCCCAAUCCUGCUGCCAUGUCUUCUUAUCCCCAGGACUACCCAGUUCCCAGACAUUGGGGGGCAGGGGGAAGUGUGGGUGUUUAGAGAUCUUCCCAACCCUGGCUCAAUUGUUGGAACUAGAAACUAUGGUGCUUCUGUCCCCUACCUACAGCAGGCCUUUAAAUCACCUCACUGUACCUUCACUGCCGCAUAAAUGGUGUGUAUACAUUUGUUAGCUCCGUCUUGCAGGGCCGGAAACUGCAGCCUGGAGAGAGUAGGUGGAUCCUUGAAGCCUAAGGCCAGAAAGUACCAGUACCUGGGGUUGAACUAGAGCUGACUUGAGCUACUCUUAACCAGGACUCAUUGCUCCCUGCCUCCAAGGUUCGAUGGCAGAGAAGGUGCUAGUAACCGGUGGGGCUGGCUACACGGCAGCCACACAGUGCUGGAGCUGCUGGAGGCAGGCUACUCACCCAUGGUCAUCGCACAACUUCCAUAAUGCCAUCCGUGGCAGGGGCUCUAUGCCUGAGAGCCUGCGGGGCGGUGCAGGAGCUAACAGGCUGCUCUGUGGAGUUUGAGGAGAUGGACAUCUUGGACAAGGAGGCCCUACAGCAUCUCUUCAAGAAGCACAGCUUUAAGGCUGUCAUCCACUUUGCCGGGGCUCAAGGCUGUGGGCGAGCGGGUGCAGAAGCCUCUGGAUUAUUACAGAGUUAACCUGACAGGGACCAUCCAGCUACUGGAGAUCAUGAGGGCCCAUGGGGUGAAGAACCUGGUAUUCAGCAGUUCAGCGACCGUGCACGGGAACCCUCAGUACCUGCCUCUGGAUGAGGCUCACCCUACGGAAGCUGCACUAACCCCUAUGGCAAGUCCAAGUUCUUCAUCGAGGAGAUGAUCCAGGACUUGUGCCGGGCAGACAAGGCCUGGAAUGCGGUGCUACACGAUGCACUUCAACCCCACGGGUGCCCAUGCCUCGGGCUGCAUUGGCGAGGACCCUCAGGGCAUCCCCAACAACCUCAUGCCCUACAUCUCCCAGGUGGCAAUUGGGCGACAGGAGGCCCUGAAUGUCUUUGGCAAUGACUAUGACACAGAGGAUGGCACAGGCAUCCGGGAUUACAUCCACGUUGUGGAUCUGGCCAAGGGCCACAUCGCAGCCUUUGAGGAAGCUGAAGGAGCAGUGUGGCUGCCGGUAGGAACAGGGCAAAGGAGACAUGGGGCCCAGAAGAAUGGCUAGUCAGGCCCCUUCCACUAACCCUGCUCUCUGGGCAGGUCUACAACCUGGGCACAGGCAAAGGCUACUCGGUGUUGCAGAUGGUCCAAGCCAUGGGAGAAGGCCUCAGGGAGGAAGAUCCCAUGCAAGGUGGUGGCACGGCGGGAAGGCGAUGUGGCUGCCUGUUACGCCAACCCCAGCCUGGCUUUCCAUCAAGAGCUGGGCUGGACAGCAGCCUUGGGGCUGGACAGGAUGUGUGAAGACUUAUGGCGCUUGGCAGAAGCAGAAUCCAUCAGGUUUCAGCGCACAGGCUUGAGGACCGCCACCCCCUGCCUCGGACCACAAAGGAAAGGAGGAAGCAACUGUCUGCUCUCCAGACCCUGGCAGGACCCCAGACUCCUGCACUCUGGGGCCAAGCCACUGCCACCCUACCUCAAACCCCAGCCCGGGCCCACCCAGCCCACCAGGCAGGUGGCCGAGGGCUCCACUGGCCUCAGAAACCAAGGUGUCUUCCACAUAUCUCUGCAGGGUCCAGGAAGGCAUCAGGACCACUCAAAGAGUGGGCAAGCAGCAGGGCUCUGGGACCACACCUUCCUCCCAGGCACUGAAUGACACUGCUAAGAGGGAACUUUCCAAAGUAUUUAAAAUAAAAGUUUCUUUUACUGAGGCAGAUUCUCACAGAUAGUCACUUUGCACCCCAUGAAUAGAAUCAGGCAGGCCUGACAGUUGAGGGAGCAAUUUCUUUUAAUUUUAUCGGGAGUCCAGGACACAACAAGAAAAACACCUGAAACCACAUGGAGACAGGAAGACGGGACACAACUCCUCCCUCACUGCCUCCC